rnacentral:lncRNA from 1 species
GGAGCUGUGAACAUGAGGAUGUGAACCUGAGUAAGACGGAUCUCUACCCAAAGGAGCAUGGUCUAAUAAACAGAGAAGGCUCAGGAGGGUCAGAAACACGGUGCCUCAUUUCUCAGCCUACUUGCCAAGAAUUCCCAAAAAGGAAGCACUGGAGGAUCAUUCCAAGGCUUGAGGUCCAGGACUACCCACUUCCCUUGGAAUGGUGUUGCCAUCACUGUUCUGGCACCGGAGAAAGGAUUCUACAUCGUUAGGAGAAAAGAAAAAGGAGAAUUUGGGCUUGCACUGAGAGGAUUACCUUUGGUGGUCUGGAAGUGGUGG